UUAACUUUACUUAAUUUAUUUGUUUGUAUAUCUCCGUUAUCAGAAAAUCUUUUUAGAGAUUAAAUUUUCAUAAUUUAUUAUUAUAAAAUAUUUCAGGUCAAGGUGCAGUUUAUAAUUAAGAGGAGGUGGGUUACAAUAAAUUUUUGUUUAUUACGGUUAUUUUAAUGAAAUAUUAAAAUUUAAGGUGGAUUUGAUAGUAAAUUAACUUAUUUAAUUUAAUUGAUACU
rnacentral:rRNA from 1 species